CGGGACUGACGGGGCUCGAACCCGCAGCUUCCGC
rnacentral:tRNA from 1 species